CCUACGGGAGGCAGCAGUGAGGAAUAUUGGUCAAUGGGCGAGAGCCUGAACCAGCCAAGUCGCGUGAAGGAUGAAGGCUCUAUGGGUUGUAAACUUCUUUUAUAAGGGAAUAAAAUGAGGCACGCGUCCCGUUUUGCAUGUACCUUAUGAAUAAGGAUCGGCUAACUCCGUGCCAGCAGCCGCGGUAAUACGGAGGAUCCGAGCGUUAUCCGGAUUUAUUGGGUUUAAAGGGAGCGUAGAUGGGUUGUUAAGUCAGUUGUGAAAGUCUGCGGCUCAACCGUAGAAUUGCAGUUGAUACUGGGAGUCUUGAGUACAGUUGAGGCAGGCGGAAUGCGUGGUGUAGCGGUGAAAUGCUUAGAUAUCACGAAGAACCCCGAUUGCGAAGGCAGCUUGCUAAACUGUGACUGACAUUGAUGCUCGAAAGUGUGGGGAUCGAACAGGAUUAGAUACCCUAGUAGUC
rnacentral:rRNA from 1 species